rnacentral:rRNA from 1 species
GAGCCAGGUAGCGGAUAGCUCGGUUCGAGAAGCCGAUGAAGGACGUGGCAAGCUGCGAUAAGCUUGGGCGAGGUGCAUGCAGCCUUUGAGCCCAAGAUUUCCUAAUGUGACUUCAUAGGUCGUUUCGGCGACCUAGCGGGAGACCGCAGGCAACGGGGUGAACUGAAACAUCUCAGUAGCCCCAGGAAAAGAAAUCAAUCGAGAUUCCCUUAGUAGCGGCGAGCGGAAGGGGACUUAGCGCAAACCGAAUCCUUUGUCGAGAGACUCAGGAGAUGUGGGUUUGGCCGUCUGCAGAACCAAUCUUCCUAGCUGAAGUCUGCUGGAAAGCAGCGCCAUAGAGAGUGAUAGCCUCGUAAACUGCGGAAGAAACGUUCAUGGACGGUUCGAGAGUAGCGUGGGUUGGAAAUCCUGCGUGAAUACGGGAGGCACUACGUCUUCCAACGCAAAAUACUUCUCGAGUCCGAUAGCGUACUAAGUACUGUGAAGGAAAGCUGAAAAGUACCCCUAGAAAGGGGUUGCAAAGAGCUUGAAACUAUCUGGUUAUAGGUUUAGCAGGGCGUGCAAGCGUCGAAGCCUCUCAACAAACUCUUGGAGACGAGAUAGUAGGUCGAGGUGGAGCAGCGUCCUGUGGUACGUUUUGAAAAACGUGGCAGGGAGUGUACUGCCGUGGCAAGGCUAAGAGGUUUACGCCUCGGAGUCAUAGCGAAAGCAAGAAGCCCACAGCGCUUUGCGUGAGGGGCCUCGUGUUAACGCGCGAGAAGUCACCGCGGUACGAUUUGAAGCCGGUCGAUCCUAGCCUGGACAGGGUGAAGCGCAGCGAAAGCUGCGUGGAGGCCCGCAGCGUUGCUGUGAUACAAGCGCUCGUGUGAUCUGGGUUAAGGGGUGAAAUGUCAAUCGAGAUCGGUGAUGGCUAGUUCCUUUCGAAAUAGAUCGAAGUCUAGCCUUGAGCGAGCCUGUUAACGAGGUAAAGCUACUGAUUCCGGAUUCUUGGAGGCGACUCCAAGACCAGAGUCAAACUCUGAACUCGUUAACGGUGUAGACCUCAGGAGCGAGGGACACUGCGUAAGGUAGUGUUCCUAGAGGGAAACAACCCAGAGCAAGGUUAAGGCCCCUAAUUCCUGACUAAGUGCCCAUUGAAGGGAGUCACGGUUCUCAGACAGCGGGGAGGUUAGCUUAGAAGCAGCUACCCUUUAAAGAUAGCGUAACAGCUCACCCGUUGAGGACUGUGGCACCUAAAAUGGACGGGGCUCAAGUCAGGAGCCGAGACCUUGCCCACGACUUUGUCGUGGGGUAGAAAGGCGCUCUGCAUGGACGGAAGCUUGGACGUGAGUUCGAGUGGACCGUGUAGAGACGAAAAUCCUGCCGGCAGUACCAGCGUUAGACAGGUGCGAAUCCUGUCCGUCGUAAGAGGAAGGGUUCCUCGGCAAUGAUUAUCAGCUGAGGGUUAGCCGGUCCUAAUCCUGCUCCUAACUGGACGCAGGAGAACAGGUAAGCAGGUUAAUAUUCCUGCGCCUCGUCACACAUCAACGUUUCGGGAUAUCGAAAGCUGCGCCUUCGCGCAGUCUAAACAAGUGAUACGUGCGAGCGUAAUGCUCCGACCACGUGAACUUGUGAGUGGCCUGGGAAUAAUCCCGGGUUUUCGAGAUUCCUGGAACCUUUGAAAACGUGUGACAGUCCGUACCCAGAACCAGCACAGGUCCUCUGGCUUUGUAGGCUAAGACGUUUCGGGUUUCAACGCAACUCAGGGAAUUCGGCAAGUUAGCCCCGUACCUUCGGUACAUGGGGUGCCUAUCGUCUUGUUACGAUAGGUCGCAGUGACUAGGGAAGCUCGACUGUUUACUAAAAACAUAGCAGACUGCUAGUCGGAAACGAUUUGUAUAGUCUGCGACUCUUGCCCAGUGCCAGCACCUGAACCCUCCGUACAAGGAGCAGAAGGGCUGGUAAACGGCGGCAGUAACUAUGACUGUCUUAAGGUAGCGUAGUCCCUUGCCAACUAAUUGUUGGCCCGCAUCAAUAGAGCAACGAGGUUUCCACUGUCCCGAGUUGUGGCCCGGUGAACCCACCGUACCGGCGCAUAGGCCGGUGACUCCCGGUGGGAAGCGAAGACCCUUUGAACCUUUACUGCAGUCUGUAGUUGCUGCGGGGGUCCAAGUGUGAAGUGUAGUUAGAAGACGUUACAGAGGCGCAAGCGCUAGCUUGUCGCCCAGUCGAUCAUGGGACACUAACCUCUUGGAACCCUGCGGCUUACUUCUACGGAAGGACAGCUACAGCUGGGCAGUUUAGCUGGGGCGGCAUCCGUCUGAUAACACAUCAGACGGGUCCAACGGUAGGCUCAGCCCGGUCAGAACUCGGGCGUAGAGUACAAGGAUAAAAGCCUGCCUGACUGGUCUCUCACCAAUACGGGGACCAGACGCGAAAGCGUGGCCUAGCGAACCCCUGUGGCCAAGUAGUGAGGCCCAGGUAUGACAGAAAAGGUACUCAAGGGAUAACUGGAUUGUUUAGGGCGCGAGCUCAUAUCGACCCCUAAGCUUGUUACUUCGAUGUCGGCUCUCCGUAUCCUGGCUGUGCAACAGCAGCCAAGGGUGGGGGUG